rnacentral:rRNA from 1 species
AUUGAACGCUGGCGGCAUGCUUUACACAUGCAAGUCGAACGGCAGCGGGGAGGAGCUUGCUUCUCUGCCGGCGAGUGGCGAACGGGUGAGUAAUACAUCGGAACGUGUCGAGAAGAGGGGGAUAACCACCCGAAAGGGUGGCUAAUACCGCAUAAAUUCUGAGGAAGAAAGCUGGGGACCUAGGAAUAGGCCUAGCGCUUUUUGAGCGGCCGAUGUCGGAUUAGCUAGUUGGUGAGGUAAAGGCUCACCAAGGCGAAGAUCUGUAGCGGGUCUGAGAGGAUGACCGCCCAAAGUGGGACGGGGACAGGCCCAGGACCCCAACGGGGGGCGGCGGGGGGGAAUUUUGGACAAGGGGGGAAACCCUGACCCACCAGUGCGGGGUGUAGGAAAAGGGCCUUGGGGUGGUAAAGUUUUUUGGUGGGGAAAAAAAAGUCAGCGGAGAAUAAGGGCGGAUACGGAGGGUACCUAAAAAAAAAGCCCCGGCUAACUACGUG